AUCAUGACCUGAGCCAAAGGCAGACGCCCAACUGACUGAGGCACCCAGGCGCCCCUGUUGCAGCCUUUAAUACAUUUGAAUGAUCAUCCAGUAGGGCCUGUUGCCCCCUAUGCCAGACCAGGGGCCACUGCUGAGAUACCCAACACUAUGACGAUAUGGAAGUCACAGGAGAUGGCCAUUGCCCUGUCACUGUGGAUCAACGUGCUGUGCUGCUGAGAACACACCUGGGGAAGACAUUAUCUGCUGGAAUUUGCAAUGGGGCAUUUCACCAGGAUGGGUGAGUUACAUCACACCCCUGGUGAGGGGGAGCUACUCAGUCUCCACUGGGAUGCCAUUGUCCCGCUGCAAGCUGGACCCGUUGAAAUGCCCUAUGCCUGGAAUGGAACAUGCACCAUUGAAAGAAGGGAGGAGGAAGUCCUGUCCCUGGUCAUUCUCACGUCUGACAGUACUGCCUCCACCAGCCAAAUAUAUGGCAUGCACAACCUGGUCAAGUUCCUAAGGCUUCCAGUCUCCCUUUCCUUGAGGCCAGGUGGGCACAUUUUCUUUUCCACCGGUAUGAUCAUCUGGCCGCCACCUCCAUUGGCCUGGAGGGUGUUACCGCACCCACAGAAACCUUACUGAUUCACCCAACAAAAUGAUAGCCAGCAGACCCUUCCUUGUAUUGAACACUGAAAUGUCUCUGAUGAGCAGAACUGUCCUCCAAAACAGGAUGGCCUUGGACAUUAUUACUGCCUUGCAAACAGAACGUUGUGUGUUCAUACCUGAUGAGUCUGCUAAUGUAUCAUCCUUAUUAAAUCACAUGAGGCCCCAAGUGAACGUCUUGAGUGAUCCAAUCCCCAGCACAUAGGAAUUAAUAAACCAGUGGUUUGGGUCAUGGGGUUCUUGGGGGAAGAAAACUGUUGCUUACUUUGGGAAUUAUCAUCUGAAUCUGUUGCUGUGGGGGUCUGCCUCCAGAGGAGCCGCUUCCAUGCUAUCGAAACCUCUUGCUGGCUGAUCAGGGCCCAUUGCAGAAGAGGGACAUGUGUAAGAUUGUAAGAACCAAUCACAAGGGCUGGGGUGUUGGAGGAGGUCAGCGAGAGGACGUGACUUCCAGUUCAUCCGUGAGCUGGACCCAGGCAAUGAGAGGCUCCUCGCGCCCUCUCCUGUCCUUGGAAUGUAUACUCUGUCCACAAUUCUCACGGUGGGAGCCAUGUUCAAGGGUGCAGACUUCAGAGAGUAAUGUGUUGUUGAGACCAUCUGGCUGGGGUAUGUGACUGAACCUACUUAAGGCCUCUGUAUACUUUUAAGAUGCCGGCUAGCAGGUGUGAGGAUCUGCUCAUCUUGUAGCUACCCAAGACAAGCCUCAUAAGUAAGUUCCCUUGCCUAUUAAGCUUGCCACAUACCAAUUUGGAACAGUCUGCCUCUUUCUUUGAUCUCUCCUUGCCUUCCAUGUACGAGGGGCCGGCUGGCAAACCAAAAUCAUCCCUGGGUGACAAAGACGUAUAGGAGCUCCUUGCCUGUAGAGUGCUGAAAAUGUUCAGGAAGGAUUCCUUAUCCCUUUUGGACCCUGGAAAUAGUCUCUCGCCUCCCAAGGGAAAUGGCCAGACUUUGCCAAGAUAUAAUUUGGGCAGCUUUGUUACGUAGUCCAUGAAGCUACCCCUUUCCCGGUCUUCAGAGACCCCCCCAAGCCCAAGCAGGUGCCUUAAAUCCUGAAUCAUGUCCUCUUACAGUUGAUCAAGUUACCAAACCAGACCUGAUCUUCACGUUUGAGAGUCUUGGAUGGCGGAAAAAUCUACAGUCCUCCGCUCUACCGACUGAGCUAUCGAAGGAACCACUGGAUGGCGGAAAAAUCUAACAUGGCAUAGGAGGUUUGCUGUAGGAACAUACCAGGAUUUCAGGAUCCAGACCCGUCAUCUGGACAGCUUCCAACCUUUGGUUUUCACAAACAGUGCGCCAAUUUGACUUCUCCAGAGUCCGUAAACCGGGGCAGCUGUCGGGUUCUUCACAAGGAACACUCCCUUCUCUUGCCCCAGCCCAUCGAGUGCUCC